rnacentral:lncRNA from 1 species
UUACAAUAAGUGAGAAUGUUAUUCAGUAACACAGAAAUAAUUUGUUUCUUUGUUUUUUUUUUAAUUCCAGGGCUCACCUUCCAGAGGCAGCCAAUCUGGUGGACAGGGUGGAUGCUAUUGUCCUGGUGGGAGCCCGGGCUCUUCUGGAGGAAGCAACUACCAUGGUGGACAGGGUUCAUCUUAUUCUGGAAGCAGUCAGUAUGGAGGACAGGGAUCUUCUUACUCAGGAAGCAGCCAGUAUGGUGGGCAGGGCUCAUCAUAUUCUGGAGGCCGACAACAUGGUAAACCAGGAUCCUCAGGAAGCACUUAUUCUGGAAAGCAGCAACCACCUUCUUCAGGGGGUAGUCAAGUGAGCUCUGCUGGGAAACACUCCAGUCCCCAACUCCUGCUGUUGUUUAGCAUUUUGAGUGCCUUCGUACUCUCUGCUGUUACAUCAAAAUGGUCUAUGUGAACAUCAGAAGAUGUGCUCGGCAUCCUAGACGUGGAUUAUACGCAGUAAUAUUAGAUUAAUUAAUAUCAGGAAGAAAAAAAAACAACACCACCAUAAAACUGUCAGAUGUUACUUGGGCUAUCAUGUUCCAUGUCUGGUUACUAUGUCAUGUCUUUCAUUAGUUUCUUUGGGUUUAGUCAUUAGUAGAUAUCAUUACUUUUGUCAGUGUUCUAGGCACCAUUUUAAGAGAGUGUAUUGUACCCUAGCUUUAUGAUUUCAUUAAAUUAUUUUUAUGUCCAGUGGAAAACAUGAUGAACACCUGAAAACUGAUUGGUGUGAGAAACAAAUGCUUAUAAAAUACCUGGUUAGUAACCAACGCAGAAUGUCAGACAAAUGGUUUUAUUUGCAAAACUUUAUUUGAGCACUGUCACUGCCCCUCACUGCAUACAAUAAAGAUGACCUCUAACUUCUUGUGAGCGAUCCU